rnacentral:rRNA from 1 species
UAGGGAAUCUUCGGCAAUGGGGGCAACCCUGACCGAGCAACGCCGCGUGAGUGAAGAAGGUUUUCGGAUCGUAAAGCUCUGUUGUAAGAGAAGAACGUGUGUGAGAGUGGAAAGUUCACACAGUGACGGUAACUUACCAGAAAGGGACGGCUAACUACGUGCCAGCAGCCGCGGUAAUACGUAGGUCCCGAGCGUUGUCCGGAUUUAUUGGGCGUAAAGCGAGCGCAGGCGGUUUAAUAAGUCUGAAGUGAAAGGCAGUGGCUUAACCAUUGUUCGCUUUGUAAACUGUUAAACUUGAGUGCAGAAGGGGAGAGUGGAAUUCCAUGUGUAGCGGUGAAAUGCGUAGAUAUAUGGAGGAACACCGGUGGCGAAAGCGGCUCUCUGGUCUGUAACUGACGCUGAGGCUCGAAAGCGUGGGGAGCAAACAGG